GAGAAUAUGUUAGGUUAGAGGCAAAGAGAAUGUUCUUAUAUAUUCAAUACUGCGUAUCAAAAGUCAUACAAAAUGACAAGAGUCCCUUUUAUAUAUGAGGAGGAAUUCCAACAUAGUAAAAUGCAUUUAUCACGUAGAUACAUGGUUGGUACUGCUAUUCAAUCCCACGAUAUGGGCUUGAACUAGCAAAAUAGACUUGGUCAACUUUAGUCACAUGCCUUGGGAACUUCCCACUUUUUUACCAUAACUAUCGAUUUGUACUGCCCCGAGUCAGGCGUCGAUAACCCCUAGGGUGUGAAUCUUGACCAUAGCCUCGAGCCUUUGAAACAUGCUUAUGAAGCGUCAUAAUGACCAAAAAUUGGACCCUCUAAUGUUAUCAUAUACACCUGUCAGAAUGAUAGGGCCUCUUGUAAGACCCCUGACCACUCCCCUGUAAUAGAACCAUCUCAACUCGUCUGGCCACAAUUGUUGCAUCCUAGAAAGAAUCUCACUCCUUAUCUCCUUAGCCAUCAACAAUCUGAUAGGCUGAGCUAGUCCCUCAAUAAACCUCCUCACCCUCUUUCUCUCGGUGGGAAGUAUAAUAAGAGCAUGAUGGGCCAAGGCAAUAAAUCUGGUCUCGUACUGAGUGACAGUCAUAGAACCCUAUUGGAGACGCUCAAACUGCCUUCGAUAGUACUCCCUCUGAGUGAUAGCAAGAAACUUCUCCAAAAAAAACAGAGAGUUGGUCCCAAGUCAAAGCCGGUGACCCAGCUAGUCUAGCCAAACAAUAAUAUCUCCACCAAGUCUCGGGUAACCUGAUAGACGAAAAAUAGCAAAGUCGAUCCCAUUAGUAUCCACUAUCCCUAUGUUCCAUAGAACCUCAUGACAGCUGUACAAAUAGCUGGGGAUUCUCUGAAGAAGUACCACCAUCAGUAGUAGUGAAAAGCUUGGUGAACCUGUCCAACCUCCACAAGGCAGCGGUAGACAUAGCAGCUCAAUCACCGAUCUGAGCUACAAAACCUGACUAAACUACCCCAACUGGCUGAGCUGCUAGAGUCUAAAAUUGAGGAGCCAUUUGCUCCGAAAUGUGAGUAGCGGGAGUUUGUGCUCCUCUUCCAGCCUGAGAGACGGAUGGUGCUACAGAAAGUAAGCCUGCCUGGGCGACACUCUCCAUAAGGCCCACUAGAUAGAGAGAGAGUCCUAGAGUACCGGGGUAACGAUGAACCCCCCUGAGACCUGAGGUGCCCUACUGGAACGAUCUGGGCUGGAACCUUCUCCUCAAACUCUACUUGAGGCUCCACCAUUGGUGCUGCUUCUCUAGGAUGAGCCCUGGCCUCUAGCACGACCUCAACCUCGUCUUCUGCCCUUU
rnacentral:lncRNA from 1 species